CAAUGGUGCUCUCAGCAUGGAAGUUUAGCACCUUUCCCAUAUACCUCGUCAUGUGCAUCUCUUUCAUCUGAACAUUCCUAAGUUAUAUCCUUUUUUCCCUUUUUUUUCUAAACUUUUCUUCCAUUCUUUCUUUCUUUUUUUUUUAUCCAUCACCCACUUACCUCAUCACCCAUAUCCCUCUCCCCUCCAGCGAUCCUCAGUUUGUUUCCUAUGAUUAAGAGUCUCUUAUGAUUUGUCUUAUAUCAUUUAAUAAUGAACCAGUAACCUGACCGAAGCAUGUUGUGGAAAUUUACAGAAGAGCCUCUGAAAAGCAGAGUAUCCAUCAUUCUGACAAGUUCUAAACCCACAGCCUGUUUUCUGGUGAACAUGUAAAGAUCAGCCUUCCUUUCCAGCCCCACCAACCCCAAUUCCUUGGAUUCUGGAAGGCUUUAUGAACAUACCCGGAGAGAUCAUCUCUAAAUGUGUCAUCAGCUAGUGCUUUAUCCAGAUUACAUUCACAACUAAUAGUGGAAUUCAUGUCAGCUCUUUACAGAAGUGAGAAGACAUUUGCCUGAUUCUGGAUUUUCCGCCCUUGUCCUGACAGGAGGUAACCACAAAAUGAAGCACAAUUCAGUCUUUUCCCCCAGCAUAUAGUGCAAAAAAGUCACACAUCUAGGCAUUGAUUUAGCUUUCAACUGGCAUCUUCUAAACUAGAUGUGAAAAAAGGGUUUAAAUUCUUUGGGAUGGCUGGCAAGACCCUAACUUCUUGCUUAUUGAUUUUUAUGUUAUUGUUUCUGGUUAUGAAUUGUGGAUUUAAAAAAAAAAAAAAACUUUUAUGGUGGCUAAUAAAAGGGAAAGCCAGGAGAAAAAUCCAGCCCCUAUUCCACACCCCUCCCAUUAGUUUCUUUUUUAAAAAAUAUAAAUCUAUAAAGAGAAUUUAAAAAAAUAGUAUAUAUAAAUCCAAUUUGUGUCACAAAAAGGCAUAAAGAAAUUCCAAGAUAUAAGGACUCUGUAUGAUACAGCAAAAGGGAGAGACUCCAUUUCUCCUGGAGACAGAGGGAAGGAAGAGAGGGCAUUAACCUUUUCUUGGCUGAAAGGUAUACUUGAUGAUCAAUAAUGAACUACAUUCAUUAGUCACUGAAAAAGGAAGGAGUAGUAUUUUUUCUUUCAUAUAUCCAGCCCAUAAUAAAGCA